AUUUUAAAAUUUGUAUAAAAAUUCUGAAAAAAAUUGUAUUAGGAAUUAGAAGGAAUAAACAAAAUAGCUAGAUAAUGUUUAUUACAUCAAAUAGAUUCACCUACAUCUAAAUUCGAGCUUUUUGCAUGAGUGUCACAGAGUAUAUGAGAUAAGAUAGCUUUGAUAAAAUACAGUCUGGCAAAAAUGUUUUCGCCAGACGAUAUUAUAAAACAUGUGCAGUCUUUUGCGAAGGUAUCCGACGGUGAUAUCUUAAGACAAGAUGCAGGGAAUGUCAUUUCAUGGUGGCGUUACGGAAACUAUUUUGUUUAAAGGGUGGCGCAUAGAUAAUGUGCAGGGAAUGAUCGGUUCUAUAAUCGGUGUUAUCCUUCUAACCGCAUUGUACGAAGGGCUGAAAUCUUAUCGUGAGUAUCUUUUCACGCGCACCACGUUUCUCAGAAAGAACCAGCAGAAGAAAUCGAGAAAUGCAUUGUUAUUCUCUGGGGUGCAUUUCUUUCAAACGCUACUGCACGUAAUUCAGAUAGUGCUCGGUUAUUUUCUCAUGUUUAUUUUUAUGACGUACAACUAUUGGCUCUGCAUCGCUAUUGGAACUGACAAGCAGACGUAAGUCAAUUUGUUGAAUACUCGUCGAAUAGCAAGAGUUGACACGAUGGCGGACAAUCGGAGUAGCACAAAAAUUUAUUGUUCCCAAUCCAAUGAGCAUCAAUUUAUAUCAGUCCGUCAUAUUAUUUUUGGAUGGGACAGAUUUAAUUCUGUAUCAUGGUUGCUGAUAUUAUUGCUUUUCUGCAUUUGGUGCAUAACGUUCUUCUGUUCCUACAAUCCAGAACCGGAAAAAGGCAAUAAUGAUCAUCAUCAUCACUGAAACAAAGAAUGUAUAUGAAAGCAGAUUGUUAUUAAGAGAAAUGGCAAAAAAAUGUCCCAAGAGGGAUACUACGCCCAACCCAUUUGAAGUGUGUACGAUCAGACCGAAAAUAAAUGACCACGUGUUUGAUACGGGAAAAAAUAUAUGGUAUUAGGAUAAAACAAUUUAUGCGUUCUCAAAAU